rnacentral:rRNA from 1 species
CAGAGGAUGUUUCUGGCGCGGUGCCUUCCGAGUUCCCUGGAACGGGACGCCAUAGAGGGUGAGAGCCCCGUAUGGUUGGAUACUAAGCCUGUGUGAAACUCCUUCGACGAGUCGAGUAGUUUGGGAAUGCUGCUCAAAAUGGGAGGUAAAUCUCUUCUAAAGCUAAAUAUUGGCCAGAGACCGAUAGCGCACAAGUAGAGUGAUCGAAAGAUGAAAAGCACCUUGAAAAGGGGGUUAAACAGUACGUGAAAUUGUUGAAAGGGAAGCGCUCAUGACCAGACUUGUGCUGGGCAGCUCAUCCGGGGUUCUCCCCGGUGCACUCUGCCCAGUUCAGGCCAGCAUCGAUUUUUGCUGGGGGAUAAGAACGGUAGGAACGUGGCCCUCCUUCGGGAGGGUGUUAUAGCCUGCCGUACGAUACCCUGGCGGAGAUCGAGGUUCGCGCAUCUGCAAGGAUGCUGGCGUAAUGGUCAUCAGCGACCCGUCUUGAAACACGGACCAAGGAGUCGUCCAUUAGAGCGAGCGUUUGGGUGUAAAACCCGCACGCGUAAUGAAAGUGAAAUUAGGUGAGAGCUUCGGCGCAUCAUCGACCGAUCCUGAUGUUCUCGGAAGGAUUUGAGUAAGAGUUUUAACGGACGGACCCGAAAGACAGUGAACUAUGCUUGUAUAGGGUGAAGCCAGAGGAAACUCUGGUGGAGGCUCGCAGCGGUUCUGACGUGCAAA